rnacentral:SRP_RNA from 1 species
GCCGGGUGUGGUGGCGCACACCUGUAUUCCCAGCUACUUGGGAGGCUGAGGCAGGAGAAUCACUUGAACCCAGGAGACAGAGGUUGCAGUGAGCUGAGAUCGUGCCACUGCACUCCAGCCUGGGAGACAGAGUGAGACCCUGUCUCAA